rnacentral:rRNA from 1 species
ACGAACGCUGGCGGCGUGCUUAACACAUGCAAGUCGAACGAAGCUCCGGAGCUUGCUCCGGAUGACUGAGUGGCGAACGGGUGAGUAACACGUGGGCAACCUGCCCCAGACUCUGGGAUAACCCCGAGAAAUCGGGACUAAUACCGGAUACGAACUCCGAGGACAUCCUCUGGAGUUGGAAAGUUUUUCGGUCUGGGAUGGGCCCGCGGCCUAUCAGCUAGUUGGUGGGGUAAUGGCCUACCAAGGCGACGACGGGUAGCCGGCCUGAGAGGGCGACCGGCCACACUGGAACUGAGACACGGUCCAGACUCCUACGGGAGGCAGCAGUGGGGAAUAUUGCACAAUGGGCGAAAGCCUGAUGCAGCGACGCCGCGUGAGGGACGAAGGCCUUCGGGUUGUAAACCUCUUUCAGCAGGGACGAAGCGAAAGUGACUGUACCUGCAGAAGAAGCACCGGCUAACUACGU